CAACUGUGAUAACAAGGGAUAUUUUAUUCAUCAAUAUAUAUCGAAAACCCCUUUUUAACCAGGUUCAUGCAAAAGAUGAGAUCUUCAGACGGUCUGAUUGAAUCAGGACAUGGAACUCGUAAACAUCACGUGCAGUAAUAUUGAAAGAAGAUCACUGAAUCCACUGCAGAAAAAGUUUGAGCUUUAGACAACUGACAUCCAUCUAUAAGAGACUGUAUGUAUGUGCAUAACCUCUCAACUCAACGCCUUUUAACAAACUAGUUGGGGUAGGCUACGUGCAUUAACCUCUAUAAUUUGAUAUUGAUGGUUGAAUUAAGCUAUAUUGACUGAUACAUGCCUGACGUCCACAGAAACACCCACUGCAAAAGGUUAAAUUCUGUUGAAUUUCACAAUGACUAGCAAGGAAGCUGAGCUUUCAGAAGCAAACACAAUACUCGAAAAAUAUUGGUAUGUGGUUUCCCCUGCAAGAAGUAAUGCAUUAUUGCCAAUUUAUGCAUGGUGACUUAUUAAUCUCUCAACUGAAUAAGGCCUACAGGAAAGAAAAUGUGUCAGUCAGAUGGACACAAUAAUCACGAUCACCGAAACGCCGUGAAGGUUCAAAAAGCCUUUAACCAUGAUAAGCCAAAAGGAAGGAUGGAAAUAUAGCACGACACAUUUACCAAGAAAACAUGUUGUGGAUACCUAAUAAGAAUCCCAAUUGACCAAAAAACAACAACAAAAUGUUGCAGUAGAAACAAAAUUGACUUAUUAUAUGUACUUUAAUAUUGAAAUCUUUGAUUAGGUAGCAUCUACAGAAG
rnacentral:lncRNA from 1 species